GAAUAUUGGGCAAUGGACGCAAGUCUGACCCAGCCAUGCCGCGUGCAGGAUGACGGCCCUAUGGGUUGUAAACUGCUUUUGUACAGGAAGAAACCCCUUUACGUGUAGAGGGCUGACAUUACUGUAAGAAUAAGGAUCGGCUAACUCCGUGCCAGCAGCCGCGGUAAUACGGAGGAUCCAAGCGUUGUCCGGAUUUAUUGGGUUUAAAGGGUGCGUAGGCGGACCAUUAAGUCAGAGGUGAAAGUUUCCAGCUUAACUGUAAAAUUGCCUUUGAAACUGGUGGUCUUGAGUACAGUUGAGGUGGGCGGAAUGUGUCAUGUAGCGGUGAAAUGCUUAGAUAUGAUACAGAACACCGAUUGCGAAGGCAGCUCACUAAACUGUAACUGACGCUGAGGCACGAAAGCGUGGGGAGCAAACAGG
rnacentral:rRNA from 1 species